GACGAACGCUGGCGGCGUGCCUAAUACAUGCAAGUAGAACGAGUUGCGAACGGGUGAGUAACGCGUGGUAACCUGCCUCAUAGCGGGGGCUAACUAUUGGAAACGAUAGCUAAUACCGCAUACUGUGAGAUGGACCUGCGUUGUAUUAGCUCGUUGGUGAGGUAAAGGCCCACGAAGGCGACGAUAAAUAGCCGAACUGAGAGGGGGAUCGGCCACACUGGAACUGAGACACGGUCCAGAUUCCUACGGGAGGCAGCAGUGGGGAAUAUUGCACAAUGGGCGCAAGCCUGAUGCAGCCAUGCCGCGUGUAUGAAGAAGGCCUUCGGGUUGUAAAGUACUUUCAGCGGGUAGGCGUUACCCGCAGAAGAAGCACAGGCUAACUCCGUGCCAGCAGCCGCGUUAAUUC
rnacentral:rRNA from 1 species